rnacentral:snoRNA from 2 species
AGACCGUGAUGAGGACACUUUUGUAAUAGCUCCUUGAAUCUUUCCCAAGUUUCAUAUAAGGAUUCCCCCUCGUCUUGCAAGUAUGUAUUAAUUUCAGUCAUUAAUUU